rnacentral:rRNA from 1 species
AUUGAACGCUGGCGGCAUGCUUUACACAUGCAAGUCGAACGGCAGCGCGGGCUUCGGCCUGGCGGCGAGUGGCGAACGGGUGAGUAAUGCAUUGGAACGUGCCCAGUAGUGGGGGAUAGCCCGGCGAAAGCCGGAUUAAUACCGCAUACGACCUGAGGGUGAAAGCGGGGGACGGAAAGGCCUCGCGCUAUUGGAGCGGCCGAUGUCGGAUUAGCUAGUUGGUGGGGUAAAGGCUUACCAAGGCGACGAUCCGUAGCUGGUCUGAGAGGACGACCAGCCACACUGGGACUGAGACACGGCCCAGACUCCUACGGGAGGCAGCAGUGGGGAAUUUUGGACAAUGGGGGCAACCCUGAUCCAGCCAUGCCGCGUGCGGGAAGAAGGCCUUCGGGUUGUAAACCGCUUUUGUUCGGGAAGAAAUCCUCUGGGCUAAUACCCCGGGGGGAUGACGGUACCGGAAGAAUAAGCACCGGCUAACUACGUG